GUUGUUCUUGAAUGAUUUUCCGCUUCUUUUCUUAUUCUUAAUCGGAUGAUGCGGUCAAAGAAAGAAAAAGAGCAGAUUUGAUUCGGCACAACCUAACGAUAUAUCCAAUCAAAUGACUUUCUCUUUGUGUUAUCGAGCUUUUGUGGUAUUGAAUCUCACAUCUAGCAUGUGUACCGUUAGUGAUCAGUUAAUAGAGACAGUUCAUAUGACAUAGUUUCAAAGGACUGAAGGAAGAGAGAC
rnacentral:misc_RNA from 1 species